AGCGAUGAAGGCCUUAGGGUCGUAAAGCUCUGUUGUUAGGGACGAAGGGUGAAGGGUUAAUAGCCCUUAGCCUGACGGUACCUUUCGAGGAAGCCCCGGCUAACUACGUGCCAGCAGCCGCGGUAAUAACGUAGGGGGCGAGCGUUGUCCGGAAUUAUUGGGCGUAAAGGGCGCGUAGGCGGCCUGGUAAGUCUGCUGUGAAACCUUGGGGCUCAACCCCAAGCGUGCAGUGGAUACUGUCAGGCUAGAGGAUGGUAGA
rnacentral:rRNA from 1 species